rnacentral:misc_RNA from 1 species
UGGUUCUGGCAUCGAUGAAGAACGCAGCGAAAUGCGAUAAGUAAUGUGAAUUGCAGAAUUCAGUGAAUCAUCGAAUCUUUGAACGCACAUUGCGCCCUUUGGCAUUCCGAGGGGCAUGCCCGUUCGAGCGUCAUUAAAUCCAAUCAAGCCCGGCUUGGUAUUGGGCACCGGGGCCUCCCCCGCGCCUCAAUUUCAUCGGCUGGCCGUCGUCCGUCUUAGCGUUGUGACACCCUUCCCGCUAGCGAUGGGCGCCGACCACGCCGUUAAACACCCCCGGAUUCUUAAACGGAAUUCGAUUAAGGUUGACCUCGGAUCGGGUAGGAAUACCCGCUGA